UGUGACUGUUAGCCCAUAUCUGUGAUUCACU
rnacentral:piRNA from 1 species